rnacentral:tRNA from 2 species
GCCUCCGUGGCGGAAUUGGCAUACGCGUCCCGUUUAGAGCGGGAUCCCGAAAGGGUUAGAGGUUCAAAUCCUCUCGGAGGCA